rnacentral:rRNA from 1 species
ACGGAAGGCAGCAGUGGGGAAUAUUGCACAAUGGGCGCAAGCCUGAUGCAGCAACGCCGCGUGAGCGAUGAAGGUCUUCGGAUUGUAAAGCUCUGUCCUAAGGGAAGAAGAAAAACGUGACGGUACCUUAGGAGGAAGCCCCGGCUAACUACGUGCCAGCAGCCGCGGUAAUACGUAGGGGGCGAGCGUUAUCCGGAAUUAUUGGGCGUAAAGAGUACGUAGGUGGCUGUGUAAGAGAGGGGUGAAAGCCCGGGGCUUAACUCCGGCGAGCCUUUUGAACUGCAAGACUUGAGUGCAGGAGGGGAAAGUGGAAUUCCUAGUGUAGCGGUGAAAUGCGUAGAUAUUAGGAGGAACACCGGUGGCGAAGGCGACUUUCUGGACUGUAACUGACACUGAGGUACGAAAGCGUGGGGAGCAAACAGGAUUAGAUACCCUGGUA